ACCUCCGAAGCACAACGGAAUCGUGCAAUCGGCUACGAACCGAGAGGAUGGUGGUUCGAAUCCACCCGGAGGUG
rnacentral:tRNA from 1 species